rnacentral:rRNA from 1 species
UACGUAGGUGACCAGCGUUGUCCGGAUUUACUGGGCGUAAAGCGCGUGUAGGCGGCUCUGCAAGUCGGAUGUGAAAGCCCUGGGCUCAACCCAGGAAGUGCACUCGAAACUGCCAAGCUUGAGUCUCGGAGAGGAUGGCGGAAUUCUCGGUGUAGAGGUGAAAUUCGUAGAUAUCGAGAGGAACACCGGUGGCGAAGGCGGCUAUCUGGACGAUGACCGACGCUGAGACGCGAAAGCGUGGGGAGCAAACAGG